rnacentral:rRNA from 1 species
AGCAGUAGCCGCGGGAAUACGUAGGUGGCAAGCGUUGUCCGGAAUUAUUGGGCGUAAAGGGCUCGCAGGCGGUUUCUUAAGUCUGAUGUGAAAGCCCCCGGCUCAACCGGGGAGGGUCAUUGGAAACUGGGAAACUUGAGUGCAGAAGAGGAGAGUGGAAUUCCACGUGUAGCGGUGAAAUGCGUAGAGAUGUGGAGGAACACCAGUGGCGAAGGCGACUCUCUGGUCUGUAACUGACGCUGAGGAGCGAAAGCGUAGGGAGCGAACAGGAUUAGAUACCCCCGUAGUCCCUGUCUCUUAUAC